CUUGGCUUUUUUCAUCGCCGGGAAAAUUGGGGCUGCGGCGGGGCCGGCGGCGGCGGUGGUGGUGGAGGAGGAGGAAUAAGGUGAUGCGGAGCGCUUGCUGGGGUUGGUGGAGGUGGGGGUGGAGGUGGUAGGUUGAGACAUAGAAGAAAUAUGAAAUCUCAACGAGAGCUCCUCA